rnacentral:rRNA from 1 species
GACGAACGCUGGCGGCGUGCUUAACACAUGCAAGUCGAACGAAGUGGCGAACGGGUGAGUAACGCGUAAUCAACCUGCCCUUCAGAGGGGGACAACAGUUGGAAACGACUGCUAAUACCGCAUACCGAAGGAGGGGUUUGCGUCUGAUUAGCUAGAUGGAGGGGUAACGGCCCACCAAGCCGAUGAUCAGUAGGCGGUCUGAGAGGAUGAACGGCCAAAGUGGGACUGCAACCGGGCCCGGACUCCUGCGGGAGGCAGCAGUAGGGAAUCUUCGGCAAUGGACGACAGUCUGACCGAGCAACGCCGCGUGAGUGAAGAAGGUUUGCGGAUCGUAAACCUCUGUUGUUAGAGAAGCUGUAUCUAACCAGAAAGCCACGGCUAACUACGUGCCAGCAGCCGCGGUAAUUC